AGUGAACGCUGGCGGUAGGCCUAACACAUGCAAGUCGAACGGCAGCACAGUAAGAGCUUGCUCUUACGGGUGGCGAGUGGCGGACGGGUGAGGAAUACAUCGGAAUCUACUUUUUCGUGGGGAUAACGUAGGGAAACUUACGCUAAUACCGCAUACGACCUACGGGUGAAAGCAGGGGAUCUUCGGACCUUGCGCGAUUGAAUGAGCCGAUGUCGGAUUAGCUAGUUGGCGGGGUAAAGGCCCACCAAGGCGACGAUCCGUAGCUGGUCUGAGAGGAUGAUCAGCCACACUGGAACUGAGACACGGUCCAGACCCCUACGGGAGGCAGCAGUGGGGAAUAUUGGACAAUGGGCGCAAGCCUGAUCCAGCCAUACCGCGUGGGUGAAGAAGGCCUUCGGGUUGUAAAGCCCUUUUGUUAGGAAAGAAAAGCAGCAGGUUAAUACCCCGCUGUUCUGACGGUACCCAAAGAAUAAGCACCGGCUAACUUCGUG
rnacentral:rRNA from 1 species